rnacentral:rRNA from 1 species
GACGAACGCUGGCGGCGUGCCUAAUGCAUGCAAGUCGCACGCGGCACCUUCGGGUGCUGAGUGUCGAACGGCUGAGGAACACGUGGGGACCUGUCCGGGAGUGGGGGACAACACCGCGAAAGCGGUGCUAAUCCCGCAUACGCUCUGAGUAGGAACUCCGGAAGUCGGUCCCGGGUGGCCCGGCGUCCCAUCAGGUUGUUGGUGGGGUAACGGCCUACCAAGCGAAUGACGGGUCGCUUGUCCGGGAGGACGACCAGACAGAGUGGGACUGGGGGACGGGCCAGACUCCGGAGGGAGGCAGCAGCAAGGAAUUUUCGGCAAUGGGCGCAAGACUGACCGAGCAACGCCGCGUGAAGGAAGACGGCCGGCGGGUUGUAAACUGCGUUUGCUAGGGAGGAUAACAGACAGUACCGGGCGAAGCAGCCCCGGCUAACUCUGUG